AGAGUUUGAUCCUGGCUCAGGAUGAACGCUAGCUACAGGCUUAACACAUGCAAGUCGAGGGGCAUCAGGAAGAAAGCUUGCUUUCUUUGCUGGCGACCGGCGCACGGGUGAGUAACACGUAUCCAACCUGCCCUUUACUCGGGGAUAGCCUUUCGAAAGAAAGAUUAAUACCCGAUGGCAUAAUGAUUCCGCAUGGUUUCAUUAUUAAAGGAUUCCGGUAAAGGAUGGGGAUGCGUUCCAUUAGGUUGUUGGUGAGGUAACGGCUCACCAAGCCUUCGAUGGAUAGGGGUUCUGAGAGGAAGGUCCCCCACAUUGGAACUGAGACACGGUCCAAACUCCUACGGGAGGCAGCAGUGAGGAAUAUUGGUCAAUGGGCGCUAGCCUGAACCAGCCAAGUAGCGUGAAGGAUGAAGGCUCUAUGGGUCGUAAACUUCUUUUAUAUAAGAAUAAAGUGCAGUAUGUAUACUGUUUUGUAUGUAUUAUAUGAAUAAGGAUCGGCUAACUCCGUGCCAGCAGCCGCGGUAAUACGGAGGAUCCGAGCGUUAUCCGGAUUUAUUGGGUUUAAAGGGAGCGUAGGUGGACUGGUAAGUCAGUUGUGAAAGUUUGCGGCUCAACCGUAAAAUUGCAGUUGAUACUGUCAGUCUUGAGUACAGUAGAGGUGGGCGGAAUUCGUGGUGUAGCGGUGAAAUGCUUAGAUAUCACGAAGAUCUCCGAUUGCGAAGGCAGCUCACUGGACUGCAACUGACACUGAUGCUCGAAAGUGUGGGUAUCAAACAGGAUUAGAUACCCUGGUAGUCCACACAGUAAACGAUGAAUACUCGCUGUUUGCGAUAUACAGUAAGCGGCCAAGCGAAAGCAUUAAGUAUUCCACCUGGGGAGUACGCCGGCAACGGUGAAACUCAAAGGAAUUGACGGGGGCCCGCACAAGCGGAGGAACAUGUGGUUUAAUUCGAUGAUACGCGAGGAACCUUACCCGGGCUUAAAUUGCAGUGGAAUGAUGUGGAAACAUGUCAGUGAGCAAUCACCGCUGUGAAGGUGCUGCAUGGUUGUCGUCAGCUCGUGCCGUGAGGUGUCGGCUUAAGUGCCAUAACGAGCGCAACCCUUAUCUUCAGUUACUAACAGGUCAUGCUGAGGACUCUGGAGAGACUGCCGUCGUAAGAUGUGAGGAAGGUGGGGAUGACGUCAAAUCAGCACGGCCCUUACGUCCGGGCUACACACGUGUUACAAUGGGGGGUACAGAAGGCAGCUAGCGGGUGACCGUAUGCUAAUCCCAAAAGCCUCUCUCAGUUCGGAUCGAAGUCUGCAACCCGACUUCGUGAAGCUGGAUUCGCUAGUAAUCGCGCAUCAGCCACGGCGCGGUGAAUACGUUCCCGGGCCUUGCACUCACCGCCCGU
rnacentral:rRNA from 1 species